UGGGGAAUAUUGGACAAUGGGCGCAAGCCUGAUCCAGCAAUGCCGCGUGUGUGAAGAAGGCCUUCGGGUUGUAAAGCACUUUUAUCAGGAGCGAAACGCUGUCGGCUAAUACCCGGCGGAACUGACGGUACCUGAGGAAUAAGCACCGGCUAACUUCGUGCCAGCAGCCGCGGUAAUACGAAGGGUGCAAGCGUUAAUCGGAAUUACUGGGCGUAAAGCGUGCGUAGGCGGUUUCUUAAGUCUGCUGUGAAAUCCCCGGGCUCAACCUGGGAAUGGCAGUGGAUACUGGGAGGCUAGAGUGUGUCAGAGGGUGGUGGAAUUCCCGGUGUAGCGGUGAAAUGCGUAGAGAUCGGGAGGAACAUCAGUGGCGAAGGCGGCCACCUGGGACAACACUGACGCUGAGGCACGAAAGCGUGGGGAGCAAACAGGAUUAGAUACCCUGGUAGUCCACGCCCUAAACGAUGCGAACUGGAUGUUGGUCUCAACUCGGAGAUCAGUGUCGAAGCUAACGUGUUAAGUUCGCCGCCUGGGGGAGUACGGUCGCAAGACUGAAACUCAAAUGAAUUGACGGGGUCAUAGCUGUUUCCUG
rnacentral:rRNA from 1 species